rnacentral:tRNA from 1 species
GGCCUGAUGGCGAAGGGGUAACGCGGCGGUCUGCAAAACCGCCAUGCGGGGGUUCGAGUCCCCCUCAGGCCU